rnacentral:misc_RNA from 1 species
CUGAAUAAGAAUAUGUACUGAUUUGAAUGAGUGGUUUGGAAUUUGGAUUGCUUGAUCUGUUUCUUAUGAACUUAAUUUCUGCUUUCAUUUGUAAUUUCUUGCUGUAUCAUGUAAUCUUUUCCCAUGUUUCAAUGGAAUUCUAUUUCUUGUUAAAAGAAAAACAUUAAAGGUCUAAGAAAUCGCAGCCAAAGCUAGAGAGAAAAACAUAAAUCAUGAAGAACCUGCAGUCAUACAAGAGACGGUCAGUUCGGCAUACAUGCAGAAAACAGCUUCUUAGACUUAAAACUUUCACAAUAGAACUAGUUGAAGAAAAUUGCUAUAAUUUAUAACUAGCAUGUCUAUUUAUUGCAACCGUGAGUAACAUUGUGUCCUAAUUCAUUGGGUAUUCUCGGCUUGAGCCCAUACAAGACAAACCCAGAAAUACUUGAUACGCUUAUUUGGGCAAACAUAAACGUCAAACAAUUUUUACAUCUUUGAGGUCAAUGUUGUUUUGAAGCUUGAUUGAGUCUCAAUGUUUUCCCCCACUGACCGCUGCUUUUGCAGUCUUGCUUUGGCUUUAAAUAGGAUUUUAUGCACAUCAUCAAAGUGAGGCCUUGUUGCCUGUCUUGUGUCUUCAAUCCAUUGCUGAACUUUCUUAUAUGGAGCAAUUAUUCGACUGCGAUCAUUCUCAUCCAAAACCUAAAUCCAAAAGUAAAUUUUAAAAUGAGCUCAUACUAUAUAUUUGCUUAGGAACUUCUUCCACUUAGUAAUUCAAAUGACUUUUGAGCUGAGGCAAAUUUAGAAACAGAGAUCCACACUUUACAAUGACAUCUGAUAAGCGUUGGAAACAGAACAGUGAAUACCUAGACAAACUGCCAUAUAAUCAAAAGCAGCACACAAAGUGCUCUAAUGGUAAUCUUAGAAAGAUUUUCAAGAGAGAGCUGGAACAUGUUGAUAACAGAUACUCUAUCAAGUGGACUAACUGUCCUCUAUCUUUGACCUCACAUUAAAGAAACACAUGAACUGGAGGAAAAAGGCUUACUCUGCUUUGAUCUCACAUUAUAGUAACAUAGCAGAGAUUUUCAAUUUUAAAUAAUCUAAACAUUCAUCAGAAAAUCAAUGUAAAAGCCUGAAGCAGUUCAGAAAGUUGGGGUCAGAAAGCUUCCAGGAAGACAUUAUACUGCCAUAUUUUGUUACAUAUAUUACUCUGCUGUUCUGGUGGGAGUGAGCAUGCCUCAUUUUGUGUGUUUGGAAAAUGGAGGAUAAGGGUUUUCACAGUUGCAGAGGUGUGUGAGCAAGGUCUAAACAGAAUUUAAAUAAAAAAUAAAAAAAGAAUACUGGAUUUUAUCUGCAUACCUCCAGUUGCAUUAUUUCACAGACAAGGCUUAGAUCUGCUAUAGAUGGUUGAUUGCCACCUAGCAAAAAUCGUCCGCUUCCCUUGAGCCAAAAGGAUUCUAUCUUUGACAGGGAUGAAGAGAGAACUUUCUCAGCUUCAGCAGCAGCUUGUGGAUUCAGAGGUAGGCCAGAUGCAGGUGCCAGUGUAGUAUUGAAAACAUAUGUAGCUGCUCCCCGGCGUAAAUUAGAGUGGUGCCAAUCCAACACUGAUUGAAUCUUAACUCUCUUGAAAAGAUCAGCCGGAUACCUUAAAAUGUGAACAGGAAAUUAUUAGGAAUUAAGCUGCAGUAUAUAAAACAAGCAUAAAAAGAUAUCAGAUUAAAGGUUCAAUCAAAAGUAUACACAAAUGACAGUUACCAACAGGUCCAACACUACACGAAAACAAGCAUGCAAUAAAGUGAGAUUAUCUAGAAGUAUCUGAUUUAUCAGAACCAUUAGUUUUAGAACAAAGAGGCAGGCUAUACAACUGAGGUUGCCAUUUCUCAAAGAAACAAAAGAUAACGGAUCAAGAAUUUAGCUGGGUGACCUUAUUGAUGCUAAGAUGUGUUCCUUGCUUAAAUAUCUUCUGGGGACUAAGGCCAACAGAGUACACUAGACAUUGUAUUCAUAUGAAUAAUAUUUCAUCCUGUUUCCAGCUGAGGCAUUUCACAUAUUUUAGCUUUUCAUGCCACAUAAAUACAUAACUAGAAAUUCAAUUGCAACAGAUAAGCAUGUAUACU